rnacentral:rRNA from 1 species
GUAGGUCCCGAGCGUUGUCCGGAUUUAUUGGGCGUAAAGCGAGCGCAGGCGGGUUAGAUAAGUCUGAAGUUAAAGGGCUGUGGGCUUAACCAUAGUACGCUUUGGAAACUGUUUAACUUGAGUGCAGAAGGGGAGAGUGGAAUUCCAUGUGUAGCGGUGAAAUGCGUAGAUAUAUGGAGGAACACCGGUGGCGAAAGCGGCUCUCUGGUCUGUAACUGACGCUGAGGCUCGAAAGCGUGGGGGAGCGAACAGGAUUAGAUACCCUGGUAGUCCACGCCGUAAACGAUGAGUGCUAGGUGUUAGGCCCUUUCCGGGGCUUAGUGCCGCAGCUAACGCAUUAAGCACUCCGCCUGGGGAGUACGACCGCAAGGUUG